UCUACGGGAGGCAGCAGUGAGGAAUAUUGGUCAAUGGGCGCGAGCCUGAACCAGCCAAGUAGCGUGAAGGAUGACUGCCCUACGGGUUGUAAACUUCUUUUAUAAAGGAAUAAAGUGAGGCACGUGUGCCUUUUUGUAUGUACUUUAUGAAUAAGGAUCGGCUAACUCCGUGCCAGCAGCCGCGGUAAUACGGAGGAUCCGAGCGUUAUCCGGAUUUAUUGGGUUUAAAGGGAGCGUAGAUGGGUUGUUAAGUCAGUGGUGAAAGUUUGCGGCUCAACCGGAAAAUUGCAAUUGAUACUGGCAGGCUUGAGUGCAGUGGAGGUAGGCGGAAUGCGUGGUGUAGCGGUGAAAUGCGUAGAUAUCACGAAGAACUCCGAUUGCGAAGGCAGCUUACUAAACUGCCACUGACAUUGAUGCUCGAAAGUGUGGGUAUCAAACAGGAUUAGAUACCCCUGUAGUC
rnacentral:rRNA from 1 species